CCUAUCUAUUUGUCCGGCCGGCAUUAGAGCGAAUGUGCCGCACGGCUCCACAAAUAUAUACGGAGCGAUAUUUUGGGUACGGCUGCUGGAUACAUCACUUAUAAUGCUCUCAGAAGGGUCACGGCUUGCUUGCAACUGCAGUGCACAGUGUAUAAAUAGUUAGCAGUCAGAGUUGUUACAAUAAAGCCAAAUAACUCAUUCAGAGCGCCCCAGUGCCGCUGUUUGGACUAACUUUGAAAAGUAACCCGGCGGGAAUAGGCUUGCAUCAACUCUUCGCCGCUGCAAGAUACAUAUAUGUUUUUUUUUAAAUAUUACGAUAACAUUAAAUUUAAAUGCGAAUACUAAUGCUUUUAGUCGUAAUAAUGUUGCAUACUAGAUAGUUAAUAUACAUAACUACUUUGUUUGAUUUACGCAUUUCCCGGAAAUUCAAAUAUAAUAUGCGGAAAUUUACCAGAUGCAGAACCUCGUAUAAUAUAUUCAUUUCAGUAAACACAAACCAAACUAUUUGGCGCAUGUCUACCUAAAUAACUGUUAUGUUUCUAAUGACAUAAUUAA